AACGAACGCUGGCGGUGCGCCUAACACAUGCAAGUCGAGCGGAAGUAAUUCAGCGGCGGACGGGUGAGUAACGCGUGGGAAUCUGCCCUUUAGUGAAGAAUACCCUCGAGAAAUCGGGGCUAAUACUGCAUAAGUUCCUUGAAAAGGAAGAAAGAUGGCCUCUUUGCUGUCGCUAAAGGAUGAGCCUGCGUACUAUUAGCUAGUUGGUAGGGUAAUGGCCUACCAAGGCGAUGAUGGUUAGCCGGCCUGAGAGGGUGAACGGCCACAUUGGAACUGAGAAACGGUCCAGACUCCUACGGGAGGCAGCAGUGAGGAAUAUUGCGCAAUGGGCGAAAGCCUGACGCAGCGACACCGCGUGAAGGAAUGAAGGCUUUAGGGUUGUAAACUUCUGUAAGUGGGAAGAAAAGGCGGUCCUAAUACGACCGCAAACUGACGGUACCACUAGAGAAGCACCGGCUAACUUCGUGCCAGCAGCCGCAGUAAC
rnacentral:rRNA from 1 species